CAACAGGGAUUGCCCUAGUAACGGCGAGUGAAGCGGCAACAGCUCAAAUUUGAAAUCUGGCCUCGGCCCGAGUUGUAAUUUGCAGAGGAUGUUUCUGGCGCGGUGCCUUCCGAGUUCCCUGGAACGGGACGCCACAGAGGGUGAGAGCCCCGUAUGGUUGGACACCAAGCCUGUGUGAAACUCCUUCGACGAGUCGAGUAGUUUGGGAAUGCUGCUCUAAAUGGGAGGUAAAUCUCUUCUAAAGCUAAAUACCGGCCAGAGACCGAUAGCGCACAAGUAGAGUGAUCGAAAGAUGAAAAGCACCUUGAAAAGGGGGUUAAACAGUACGUGAAAUUGUUGAAAGGGAAGCGCUCAUGACCAGACUUGUGCCGGGCGGUUCAUCCGGGGUUCUCCCCGGUGCACUCCGCCCGGCUCAGGCCAGCAUCGGUUCUCGUUGGGGGAUAAGAACGGUAGGAACGUGGCCCUCCCUCGGGAGGGUGUUAUAGCCUGCCGUACGAUACCCUGAUGGGGACCGAGGUUCGCGCUCCGCAAGGAUGCUGGCGUAAUGGUCAUCAGCGACCCGUCUUGAAACACGGACCAAGGAGUCGUCCAUUAGAGCGAGCGUUUGGGUGUAAAACCCGCACGCGUAAUGAAAGUGAAAUUAGGUGAGAGCUUCGGCGCAUCAUCGACCGAUCCUGAUGUUCUCGGAUGGAUUUGAGUAAGAGUUUUAACGGACGGACCCGAAAGACAGUGAACUAUGCUUGUAUAGGGUGAAGCCAGAGGAAACUCUGGUGGAGGCUCGCAGCGGUUCUGACGUGCAAAUCGAUCGUCCAAUAUGAGCAUGGGGGCG
rnacentral:rRNA from 1 species